rfam:Toxocara canis C1594586, whole genome shotgun sequence.
CGGGCAGUAGCUCAGUGGUAGAGCUCCUGCUUCAUAUGCGGGAAAACCUGGGUUCGAUUCUCGGCUGCGUAU